UCACUACUUGCGUAGGCAGUCUGGCUAGAGUCCCCACCAUCACGUGCUGGUAACUAACCACAGGGGUUGCGCUCGUUGCGCCACUUAAGGCAACACCUCACGGCACGAGCUGACGACAGCCAUGCAGCACCUUCCGGCCCGUCCCGAAGGAAAGCUCCCUUUCAGGAGCCGGCAGGCCGGAUUUAGCCCAGGUAAGGUGGGGAUGACGUUAGAGAGUACGUCC
rnacentral:misc_RNA from 1 species